rnacentral:rRNA from 1 species
CCUACGGGCGGCAGCAGUGGGGAAUAUUGGGCAAUGGGCGCAAGCCUGACCCAGCAACGCCGCGUGAAGGAAGAAGGCUUUCGGGUUGUAAACUUCUUUUAAGAGGGAAGAGCAGAAGACGGUACCUCUUGAAUAAGCCACGGCUAACUACGUGCCAGCAGCCGCGGUAAUACGUAGGUGGCAAGCGUUGUCCGGAUUUACUGGGUGUAAAGGGCGUGCAGCCGGGUGCGCAAGUCAGAUGUGAAAUCUCAGGGCUCAACCCUGAAACUGCAUUUGAAACUGUGCAUCUUGAGUGCCGGAGAGGUAAGCGGAAUUCCUUGUGUAGCGGUGAAAUGCGUAGAUAUAAGGAAGAACACCAGUGGCGAAGGCGGAUUACUGGACGGUAACUGACGGUGAGGCGCGAAAGCGUGGGGAGCAAACAGGA